AUUCCAAAAUGGCCAGAUUUGUCUUGUGUUCCUGAUUUUCAACCUGGAUCUCUUCUUCGCAAAUGCCGACGACGAUGAUUUUUCCAUAGCCAAAGAGGCUGCCGCUUCCUCUUCCUCUCUGCGGUCGCCAUUAAAGAAGCUCUUCUUUGAAGAGCGGAAUACGCCGAACUCGGCAAUGUCGUUUUAGAACUCAGAAGGUGGACUCAGGUCCUGAUCCAUGAGAGCAACCAACUUCUGAGUUUGAUCAUCAACACCUGUUACAGCAUAAAAGGAGAUCUUUCUCUGUGAGCUCAUUAGUGAUGCCUCUGAUGAAGUGGACCCCUGUGAUGAUCUAACUGAUGAUGAUUUUCGAAUGGCUAUUCAAAAUGCUUCUGGUGUAAGAAAUGCUUUAUUUGUGCCUGAGGUCCCAUUUGAAUUUUUAGUUAGGAGACAAAUUGCUCGUCUGUUAGACCCAAGCCUUUAGUGUCUUCGAUUUGUUUAUGAUGAACUAAUGAAGAUAAGCCACGCUUGUGAGGUAAUUGAGUUGCAAAGAUUUCCAGUAUUGAGAAAGCAUCUGGAUGAAGUCAUGGUAAAAUUUUUGCACGAUGGUGUAGAACCUGCUGAGAGAAUGAUAGGAAAUCUUAUUGAGAUGGAGGUAUUUCCUUUUGCCUUUGCGAUUGUAUCUGGUGAAACUAUGGACAAUUGGAGGUGGCAGCAAAGGAUAUCGAAU